GGUUGUGGCUCAGUGGUAGAGCACUUGCCUAGCAUGUGGGAGGCCUGGGUUUGAUUCUCCGUACCA
rnacentral:tRNA from 1 species